rnacentral:lncRNA from 1 species
GUUUUAAAGCAUGAGCGCUACGUGCAGCGCUUCUCUGCUCUCUGGAGGCUAAUUAAUCCCCUUAAAAUAGAGAGUGGUGGAAUAGGUGCUUGUGGUAGCAAGCAGCUGAGCUGCCUGUUGAAGAUGAUGAAAUCCCCUGCUGGGUCCUGCCCAGUGCUGCUGCUGCUGCCGUCCUCCCGGACUGUCUGUGCGAAGGAGCGACUGUGGUCGGAGGCCUUCUGGGAGAGGUCCAGGCGGAGGCUGGGGGAGGAAGGAGGAUGUGCACGGAUUAUCCCGCUUGAACUGAGACAACUGGCAGCCAUAUGUCCUCCCUUUGGGUACUGAAAAGCUGCUAUCAGGUUUUCCUGGAGCCUGCUCUUUUCCAGGCUGAACAGCCACAGCUCUCAGCCUGUUCUUGUAGGGGAGAGGUGUUCCAUCCCUGGGAUCAUUUUUGCGGCCCUCCUUUGGAUAUGCUCCGACUGGUCCACAUCUCUCCUGUACCAAGGACUCCACAUCUGGAUGAAGUAUGCCAGGUGACAGGCAGGAUCACCUCCCUUGCCCUACUGGCCACACUGCUUUUGCUGCAGCCCAGAAGAUGGAAGCAAAUCCCUAAUGUACAUGUAAGGAAGAUGGGCCUUUCUGCCACCAUCUUACAACACAUCUGUCACAGAAGUUCUGACAAGGUAAACUUGUGGGAACGGGCACUGAGAUCAGUGACUGUGACAUAACCUCCCUGUUACAGAAGAUAGAAAAUUAUGUGUUUGUGCGCUCCUAGGAAUAUAUGAUUGUCCAUCGACCCGAACGCCUCACACAUGAGUUUUUGAUCCUGAGGCCUAAGGGGUCGGGGCCUGCGC